UGGUAUCUAAACACCUGAACACAAAAAGUGUUGCCAUCUAACGAUACACCGGGCAAGUUGAAAAUACAUAACUGCAGGAUAAUAAAAUUAUAAAUAACAAUCUAACAAGUGGAACUGUUACAUUACCUAGUCAUUAUCAAACUGUAUAUUACAGUACCUAAACACACAACUGAAAAAACACCUAACCUAAUUUUCAUACUAAUUAACAAUAGUUAUUGUAAAACAAGCAGUCUCUUAAAAUGUUGCGAUCUUUAAUUAUAAUAUAUUGUUUAAUAUUUUAAUCGUUCUUAGUUUCUCGUUUGAGCUAAAGAGAGGUUAGAAUCGAUAGAAUCGAUUGAUCGAAUGAUAGAUCUCGAGUUUUGAGUACGCGUGCGCCAAUUGGAUCUCGCUUUCGAUCUUGUUUUUCGAUUCUGUUCACGCGUCUCGAUCACUCGCACGAUCAUCGAUAAUGAUGAUCGAUGAUCUACGGUGAUCGAUAGUAGUGUCAGGAGCGCAUGAGGCCCGAGGAAGUUGAUUCUACCACCACUUCACGACCCAACGCAACGUUUUCUUGACGUCAUCGGGCUUGUAGACAGGUUCCCUUACGUUACACGAGUAUGAUACAUUCCCCUGUUGCGUACACACGCAUUCUAGCACGUACGAAAGCCGCGUGCAUUUCAUUACACAUUGAAAGCAAAAGUGCUACCGCGUGGCGUAAGGAAAUCAUCAAAUUCUACUGUAGAUCGUAAAAACGUUGAAAUAAUUAAGUGGUAAAUGGCUAGUCGCACGAAAAGGUCAGAAAGUAGAUUCAUAUCAGCGCAAUUAAAUUACAGCACGUAUUCGAUUGCGCAAUGGUACUAAGGUUGAUUGAAAUAUCCCUAGCUAAUUCUUCUACGGAACUGUGAUUGGGUAAUAGGAACGAUAUAAAUCAGGAGGUUCGAUGCGCGCAUUUUCGCACGCAACGAAGCACCACGUGCACGUGCUAUUCAAUAGUGAAAGGAAAAGUGGAAGAGGAGAUCCCUGUUACAGUGAACCCGGAAUGCUUCAAUGAUGCCCUAUAUGAUACUGGCAGGAGUUAUCAAUAUUGGCUCCCUCACCAUUCUUGAAAAAAAAAAACCCUAGCUACCCCAAUGGUUAUCAAGGCUACAAUAGCAAAGGUGGAUCAUUAUCCUUGAGAUUUCCCAGUUCAAUUGUGUAACCGAUACACCAGGGUGUGGCGCUAAAAGCUAAAAGCUUGCUAAAAGCAUGGAAGGUCAAGGUAUAUUUACCAGAUUCAUUUGCCAUCUGUAAAAUCAAGUUUCAUCUGCUUCUUAGAAUGUAUGCAAGAACACGAUCGCUGUAACGUUACACCAGCAUCGUCGCGGACAAGAUAAAGCACACGGCUGACUUUUGUAUAAGAUAUUCGCAUGCUUCAGGUGAAUUCUGAGUGGGAAAUCAUGCAUUAUGCAGAGGGUGAUAGCAGUCUUGACGAAUCAUCGAGUUCCGUGGUUCAUGAUCCCACGAGUAACCGCGACCUACCACUCCCCGAUAACGAAUCCAACACGUAACAUGCUCUACGCAAAAUAAAGCAAUUACGGUAUAAUCAAUAUCAAUUAGAAUCGAGGAAAUUAGAAAACAGAAAGCCCUUUCCCUUUGGCGAUUCACAGAAGAGACGAUAAAGAAGAUUGGAAUGUUGCUUUAUGAAUGACUCUGACCAAGGGAAAAUGGAAGGGAUAAUCAAGGGUCUGGGACGUGUUUCGUGGAACGGAGAAAGAGAUCACUCGCAAGAUCCAUCCCGAUGACUCAUAUGAGUCAUGCGAUGAAAUUCGCGCCGGGUCAUCGGCUGGGAAACCUGAGGAAGCUCCCAUUCAUGAAAUUAACCUUCUUACGCAAAGAUAUCUUUUAAUUUUCGCGCACAGUUCGAACAGAGUGAACGGAGUAUCGUUUGAUGAAACUUUUUCAUUCACCAGACAUCUGUCUCGAUAUCAUUUUCCAAGCCCAAUAUUCGAGGGAGAAGCGAAUGAAAAGCUUGGAAAAAUGGGGAGAAAAUCGAGCAGUGACGGCGGUAAUCUUACCAGUGCAAAUAUUGAUGGAAGAACCAGACGACUUGAUACGCAACGAAAGAUUUUUCUUUUCACCCUGAAACCUCUUACAAUUGCAGAAAGACGUAUCAUUUUUAUAAGACGCGAGAAUGAGGUAGAAUGCCGAGAGCACGAUAAUGAUUUAAAAUAAGAAGAAAAAUUGAGGGUGUAAGAGAGGCGAGUAAAAUGUCGCGUGUCGAAUCGACAGAUUGUUCUGGAUCGAAAUUCUCGGUCUGGAAUGGCGAGAGAAUCAAUGGCGGCUAUUUUGAGGUCUCGGCGUCGUCGACGUCGUCGUCGAGAAUGUUCUCGCGUCUUCGAAGACGUUGAAGAUCGCGACGUCUUCGACGCGUCUUUUUCGAAUUGAAAAAUAAGCCAUCUAUGCGACUAUUUCUUCAUUUUACAAUAUACACUUUUCUAGGAUCCCUUAUGAAAAAAAAAAAAUAAUCAUAGGCGUAACUAGUAGAUCAAUUGUAAAUCCACAGAAUUUCAAAAAUUAGAAUCUUAGAAUACUGAAGGAGCCCUGGCCCUACUUUGCCCCCUAUCUAAUUACAGCCUGAACAAUUGAAACUAUUUAAAAA